rnacentral:misc_RNA from 1 species
GAUGAAGAACGCAGCGAAAUGCGAUAAGUAAUGUGAAUUGCAGAAUUCAGUGAAUCAUCGAAUCUUCGAACGCACAUUGCGCCCGCCAGUAUUCUGGCGAGCAUGCCUGUUCGAGCGUCAUUUCAACCAUCAAGCCCCAGGCUUGUGUUGGAGCCCUGCGGCUGCCGCAGCCUCCCAAAACCAGUGGCGGGCUCGCUAUCACACCGAGUGCAGUAGUUUACUCUUCGCUCAGGGCGUGUGGCGGGUGCUAGCCGUGAAACCCCCAACUUCUCAAGGUUGACCUCGGAUCAGGUAGGAAUACCCGCUGAACUUAAGCAUAUCAAUAAGCGGAGGA